CACCUCCUCCCAGGUUCCUAGCUCGAGCGCCGCUACGAGCUCACCGGAGGCCAGUGUGGUCGUGGCGCCCGCCGAUCCAGAGCUGCCACCGCCGCCGUGGGAGCCUCUUGGCAGGGCAUGCGUCGAGCUGCCGCCCAACCCGGAGGACGCGCUCGAGGUGUUCGUCGAUGGCCACAUUGUGCGGAUCCCCAAGGGCUUCUCUGUGCUCCAGGCCUGCGAGGUAGCCGGCGUCGACAUCCCGCACUUCUACUACCACUGCCGCCUCUCCAUCACCGACAACUGCCGCGUGCCGCAUGUGCCUCCUCAAGGUCGAGAAGUCGCCCAAGCCCGUCGCCUCCUGCUCCAUGCCCGCCUUCCCAGGGAUGAAGAUUAUGCCGAACACGCCUUGAAAAGAAGGCACGGGAGGGUGUCAUGGAGUUCUUGUUGAUGAACCAUCCACUCAAUUGCCCAAUAUGUGAUCAGGGCGGACAGUGCGACCUCUAGGAUCAGUCCAUAGCCUUUGGGGCUGACCGUGGUCAUUUCACCGAUAUGAAGCGGUCGGUCGUGGAUAAGAAUUUGGGUCCCUUGGUAAAGACGGUGAUGACCCCUUGCAUCCAGUGUACAAGGUGUGUUAGGUUUGCAUCUGAGGGUGCUGGUGUUCAGGACAUGGGUAUGUUAGGCCGUGGAGAAGGGAGCGGCAACGGUAGCAGGCGGCGGUGCUGGCAAACGCGUUGGACAUGAGCCGCUCCGGCUUCUUCCAGCGGUUGCCUCUCCCCCGCCCUCCACAUCUCGCUGGAGCCACCACUCUCGAAGUCCUUCCGCCAUCCGACGAGCUCCCAUCACAUCCCCGCGCCGGAUUUUAGUGGCAGGGCAGAAGAGAAUCGACCAUGUGGCGCGGCCACAAGCGUUGGACGACAUUCGAUGUGCGUGAAUUGGGCAUCUGGUUGAGCUGUGUCAGGUUGAUACCUUUUGUCCUGAACGGUAUGGCGUUGUAAGAUUGCUCCCCGCGGUAAUUCUGUUGUGCUGCAAGGCUAGCUUGAUGUUCAUGGCUCAGUAUGCAAUUGGCCUGAGAUGCAACGUUUUUUAUGCUCGAAGCCCCAAAUGAUGUACUGAUGGUAACAUUAAUUGUAUAUUUCAGGUACAAGGAGGUUUUCUUGGUUGCAACUUCUUUUUAGAAGCUUAGAGUUGACAAACAUGAUCUGAUUGACCUGUGUGGUGCAUCUAGCUCUGACUUUACAAUGGUAAUGAAAAGAUUGAUAUAGAUGGAAUCUAUAGCGAUGCACUUUCCGGGAGGUCUGGCAUGCUUGUUGAGGUCCCCUGAUUAUGAUAACCUGAUAAGAUGAAUGAGUCUAUUACUUUUCCCAGAGUCAUACGGAACAGCUUGAGGCCUCUACACAUCAGCAGCUUGACCAGUACCUAUCGUUGUUCAGCCUACCAUCCAAAAUCCUACGCAGUGUGGCCAAUGUGAAACUCUAGGUCAGUGUCAUUCCAUCUAUCUGAUGUAACCUCUUUGCUUGCGAGUAUCUCGGAAAUGGUUGGUAUAACUAUGCAAUGAUUUUUUUUCUUUGCUAACCAGCUGAACUCUGUAAUGCCGACGAAAGUCGAUUCAGAUUGAUAGUCAUGUCUAAUUGCUUGAUGGAGUAAUGGUGCUCAACACGUCUAAUCGUAUAUUCUUGGUCUGCUAAAGCUACCAAGUCUGUUUAUAUUGUAGAAUCACAUGGUUUGUCUUUCUCUGACAUGGUAGAACAAAGAAAAUGCAAAUGAUGUACUAGAUGAUAAAUAUGAGCCGCGGGAUUAUUUGAACUUCUUUUUCUUGUCAAUUGUGAAGUUGAUGACAGCCCUGGCACUUGAAUCUCAAGUGUGAAUUCUCUCUUGUUUUCCUUUCAAGUUUCAGCGCAUUAUGAUGUUUGUAACAUGCACUUUCGAUUUGUUCCAGUAGGUUUGAACUGCUUUAAUUUUCAGUCAAAAUAGUAAAGAGAAUAGUAAUGACAUGUUGAGUUUUUGCGCCCUUCUAUAAAUUGAAUUCUAUGUUAUUCUUGGUAUUGCAUUGACAUGGUUCUAGUAGCCAUUAUAAUGUUAGUACACCAAGUAGCUUUGAGCUCUUCCACUAUUUGCAUUAUGUACCCCAUGCUAAUGAAAGGUAAGCUUGGCAAACAAAUUAAAGAAGAUCCCUGCUUUUUGGGUAAUUAAUAUCAUUUUGCUAGCCAUUUUCCUAACAAAGUUAAUGUGAUGUAGAGUACUGUGUCUUGUACAUUGUUACUGUUUCAGAUUUUGUGACUUACAGAAGAGACCAGUAUGAUUGCUAAUUAAGAGCUUCCUCAGAAGAACUACUUCCUCCGUUCCUAAAUAUAAAUCUUUUUAGAUAUUUUAAUAUGGACUACAUACAGAUGAAUAUAGACAUAUUCUAGUGUAGAUUCACUCAUUUUGCUCCGUAUGUAGUCUAUAUUGAAAUCUCUAAAAAGACUUAUAUUUAGGAACAAAGGGAGUAACGUUUUAAGUUGGAGAGGGAUGCCUACACGCCUUAUUUAAUAAUAGCAACAUUUGCAAGGAUGCGAAGAAUUGUUUUCUAUGUUGUUCCCUUUCUUGCCUUUUCAGUUGUCAACAUUGACUACACUGAACUCAUUUUGAAUUGUCAAAGAUGUGAAAAUGCUUUUUUGGACACUUAUGACCUCAUUUCACUUAGUAGGGCCAUAUUUCUUGCCUGGACACACGUAUGAACAUGAUUGAAUUGUGUUCUUUUUUAUUAUGAAGUGUAAUUGUCGGUUUGCAGGGUGUGCUUGUCAUCCAGCUUAUAGAUUGUCACCUAUCUGUUAAUAUAGACCUAUUAGCUUCCUAUGUAUUCUGUUAACUGUAUUGGUUCUUGAAAAAUUGGUGCUCCUCUAGGCUAUAUAUACACAUUCACAAGUACACCGAUAAGACUGGUGCGCACAGGACGACAGAGGAGCACAUGUGA